UACAGAGGGGGCAAGCGUUGUUCGGAAUUACUGGGCGUAAAGGGCGCGUAGGCGGCCUUCUAAGUCGAACGUGAAAUCCCCGGGCUCAACCCGGGAACUGCGUCCGAGACUGGAGGGCUUGAAUCCGGGAGAGGGAUGUGGAAUUCCAGGUGUAGCGGUGAAAUGCGUAGAUAUCUGGAGGAACAUCGGUGGCGAAGGCGGCAUCCUGGACCGGUAUUGACGCUGAGGCGCGAAAGCCAGGGGAGCAAACGGG
rnacentral:rRNA from 1 species